AGUGGACAGAAGGGAUUUCUGAA
rnacentral:piRNA from 1 species